rnacentral:rRNA from 1 species
GUGGGGAAUAUUGGACAAUAGGCGAAAGCCUGAUCCAGCCAUGCCGCGUGUGUGAUGAAGGCCUUCGGGUUGUAAAGCUCUGUGGGGAGGGAAGAAAAAGCGGGAGAGUAACUGCUCUCGUGUUGACGGUACCUCCUUAGCAAGCACCGGCUAACUCUGUGCCAGCAGCCGCGGUAAUACAGAGGGUGCAAACGUUGCUCGGAAUUACUGGGCGUAAAGCGCGUGUAGGCUGACAUGCAAGUCGGGUGUGAAAUCCCAGGGCUCAACCUUGGAACUGCACUCGAAACUGCACGUCUUGAGUACUGGAGAGGGAAGCGGAAUUCCGGGUGUAGAGGUGAAAUUCGUAGAUAUCCGGAGGAACACCAGUGGCGAAGGCGGCUUCCUGGACAGUAACUGACGCUGAGACGCGAAAGCGUGGGGAGCAAACAGGAUUAGAUACCCGGGUAGUCC